AUUGAACGCUGGCGGCAUGCCUUACACAUGCAAGUCGAACGGCAGCGGACCUUCGGGUGCCGGCGAGUGGCGAACGGGUGAGUAAUAUAUCGGAACGUACCUUUCAGUGGGGGAUAACGUAGCGAAAGUUACGCUAAUACCGCAUAUUCUGUGAGCAGGAAAGCAGGGGAUCGCAAGACCUUGCGCUGAUUGAGCGGCCGAUAUCAGAUUAGCUAGUUGGUGAGGUAAAGGCUCACCAAGGCGACGAUCUGUAGCGGGUCUGAGAGGAUGAUCCGCCACACUGGAACUGAGACACGGUCCAGACUCCUACGGGAGGCAGCAGUGGGGAAUUUUGGACAAUGGGCGCAAGCCUGAUCCAGCCAUUCCGCGUGCAGGAUGAAGGCCUU
rnacentral:rRNA from 1 species